CGCAUUCACCAGGGGUGUCCCGCAAGGGGCUGAGAUUCUGCUGGGCUUUCCCCGAUGAAGGGCAAGCAGCGCGGUGACCCGUUGAACCUGAUCCAGUUCAUACUGGCGUAGGGACGGUGCGAGCGCUGUGGG
rnacentral:ncRNA from 2 species